GACGAACGCUGGCGGCGUGCCUAAUACAUGCAAGUCGAACGAACUCUGGUAUUGAUUGGUGCUUGCAUCAUGAUUUACAUUUGAGUGAGUGGCGAACUGGUGAGUAACACGUGGGAAACCUGCCCAGAAGCGGGGGAUAACACCUGGAAACAGAUGCUAAUACCGCAUAACAACUUGGACCGCAUGGUCCGAGUUUGAAAGAUGGCUUCGGCUAUCACUUUUGGAUGGUCCCGCGGCGUAUUAGCUAGAUGGUGGGGUAACGGCUCACCAUGGCAAUGAUACGUAGCCGACCUGAGAGGGUAAUCGGCCACAUUGGGACUGAGACACGGCCCAAACUCCUACGGGAGGCAGCAGUAGGGAAUCUUCCACAAUGGACGAAAGUCUGAUGGAGCAACGCCGCGUGAGUGAAGAAGGGUUUCGGCUCGUAAAACUCUGUUGUUAAAGAAGAGCAUAUCUGAGAGUAACUGUUCAGGUAUUGACGGUAUUUAACCAGAAAGCCACGGCUAACUACGUGCCAGCAGCCGCGGUAAUACGUAGGUGGCAAGCGUUGUCCGGAUUUAUUGGGCGUAAAGCGAGCGCAGGCGGUUUUUUAAGUCUGAUGUGAAAGCCUUCGGCUCAACCGAAGAAGUGCAUCGGAAACUGGGAAACUUGAGUGCAGAAGAGGACAGUGGAACUCCAUGUGUAGCGGUGAAAUGCGUAGAUAUAUGGAAGAACACCAGUGGCGAAGGCGGCUGUCUGGUCUGUAACUGACGCUGAGGCUCGAAAGUAUGGGUAGCAAACAGGAUUAGAUACCCUGGUAGUCCAUACCGUAAACGAUGAAUGCUAAGUGUUGGAGGGUUUCCGCCCUUCAGUGCUGCAGCUAACGCAUUAAGCAUUCCGCCUGGGGAGUACGGCCGCAAGGCUGAAACUCAAAGGAAUUGACGGGGGCCCGCACAAGCGGUGGAGCAUGUGGUUUAAUUCGAAGCUACGCGAAGAACCUUACCAGGUCUUGACAUACUAUGCAAAUCUAAGAGAUUAGACGUUCCCUUCGGGGACAUGGAUACAGGUGGUGCAUGGUUGUCGUCAGCUCGUGUCGUGAGAUGUUGGGUUAAGUCCCGCAACGAGCGCAACCCUUAUUAUCAGUUGCCAGCAUUAAGUUGGGCACUCUGGUGAGACUGCCGGUGACAAACCGGAGGAAGGUGGGGAUGACGUCAAAUCAUCAUGCCCCUUAUGACCUGGGCUACACACGUGCUACAAUGGAUGGUACAACGAGUUGCGAACUCGCGAGAGUAAGCUAAUCUCUUAAAGCCAUUCUCAGUUCGGAUUGUAGGCUGCAACUCGCCUACAUGAAGUCGGAAUCGCUAGUAAUCGCGGAUCAGCAUGCCGCGGUGAAUACGUUCCCGGGCCUUGUACACACCGCCCGUCACACCAUGAGAGUUUGUAACACCCAAAGUCGGUGGGGUAACCUUUUAGGAACCAGCCGCCUAAGGUGGGACAGAUGAUUAGGGUGAAG
rnacentral:rRNA from 1 species